GACAUAUGUGCAAGGCGGCCCAUAGAGGAGUAAAGAGCAUAGGAGGAUGUGUGGUAUUACCAACUGUAUGGGCAUUCACACGCAUACCCUUGAUAGCCCCGGUUAGUAACGAGGUUCCAUCAUUUCCUUAUGCAUUAAGAUGGUGCAAACGAGGUAUGAAUUAUCGAAAUAAUCCUCGACAUCAUGUACAAGGGUACCGUGUUGCAAUAGAACACAUGGAAGAAAACGAUUUUAUUUGGAGGCCGUACAUACAAUAUCCAGUGCCUGAUUAUAAUGACAGCCGAGUCUGGAGUGCAACAACAUAUAUCAUAUGUUUCUAUACCGUUGAGAUGCAUCAGACGGAUCGAGUCAAACUCCAAUUUGGAUUUGAACAACAAAUACUGUCUCCGCCAAGAUGUCUAAGUGAACACCAUAACAUGACUAUGGUCCAAGCUUGGGACACGCAUUGGCAAGAUUUAAAUAAAGA